CCUACGUGAGGCUGCAGUGAGGAAUAUUGGUCACUGGGCGCGAGCCUGAACCAGCCAAGUCGCGUGAGGGAGGACGGCCCUCCGGGUUGUAAACCUCUUUUGCCGGGGAGCAACGGGCGUCACGUGUGGCGCCACUGAGAGUACCCGGCGAAACAGCAUCGGCUAACUCCGUGCCAGCAGCCGCGGUAAUACGGGGGAUGCGAGCGUUAUCCGGAUUUAUUGGGGUUACAGGGUGCGUCGGCGGAUCGUUAAGUCAGUGGUAAAAUUGAGGGGCUCAACCCCUUCCCGCCAUUGAAACUGGCGCUCUUGAGUGGAAGAGAGGUAUGCGGAAUGCGUGGUGUAGCGGUGAAAUGCAUAGAUAUCACGCAGAACACCGAUGGCGAAGGCAGCAUGCCGGCUUCCGACUGACGCUGAAGCACGAAAGCGUGGGGAUCGAACAGGAUUAGAUACCCGUGUAGUC
rnacentral:rRNA from 1 species